CACUUGUCAAAGUGGACCGAAAACGAACGACUGCAAAUUUGGCUGGUGCAUCGAAAAGUCGUGCGGUCGAGGAUCGACCGGUUCAAAAAUCCAGGCGGACGGAACACGGUGAAGAUUCGAACAGAAGCUAAACUACUCGCCAAGCGCCAGGCAGCAGCGGAGUGCGCCAAAAUCUUCAUUCCCCGAAUCGCAACCGUGCUCCAUCGUCGGGAGGAUUGGACUCGCGGCGAAAUCGGAAAAUAAAUCCCGGAGAAAGCUACCAACCAACGGACUGCUUCUGUAGCUGGAAACGCGGCGUCAGUGAGCGGCAUAAUCGAUCCGAGUGGUUCGAGACAGCGGUGGAGGCACGUCCAACAGGCCGACCCACGAAUCGUACACGUGAUCCACUGGAACAAAUUACUGAGGUAAGUGGGAUCUGAAAGGUAUGGUCGAGGCGAACAAUCAACCAACAAAUUUGUGUUCUCCAGCUGUAGGCCACGAGCUUGAGAAGCGUUGCUGGCGAAGGGAGGAGGCGAGAUUUGCGAAUCACCGGCCGGAUGUGAGGUUGGUGGCUGCGGAGAAGCCGAUCCCGUCACGAAGCAGCUGGAUUGCCAGAGACCAGGUGGCAAGAACUAGUUGGUGAGUCCGAUUAUCGCACCAUUGGGAUCCGUGACUAACACAAUAGUUCUCCCGCAGGCAUCGAUCUCCAAAAAUAUCAUUUUCCGAGCGAGACCGUCGCUUCCCGGAGUGAUCCCAGCCAUACGCACAAACGAUGCGAAACAGAAAGCCCUCCAAUAGAGGGCCUUUUGUUUACAGCCUCAACACGUCGCAGCGCUCUAGAACAACAAUCGGAUCGGAAUCCGGCAGCGAGUAACGGAAUGCUUCGAAGGUAGGCCGUCCGCGAGGAGGGCAUUACUGGACCUAUAGUCUAGAUCCACCGCGGAGCGUUGGUGGCCACGUUCCGAUUCCUGCGGAUUCGGUUCCGGAUACAAUUGCAUGUACACAGAUCCCGCAGCUAUUCGACGAGGAGUGGCACCGGAGUUUCGAGGCUCGUCGGUAAGGAAGACGACAGCUCUGAAGAAGCGAGGAAGCAGCCAAGAAGAAGAGAAAGAGUGCACCCAAGAAGAUAUGAGUGAGUACGGAAACUGGGGAAGAGAAGAUGAAUGAGAAAAGGCAAGGAAGAGAAUCAGCGUAGGAGUUAGGGCUCAGAAUGAGCAGUAUUAUGUGAGCAAGGGCAUGGCAAAAUAAAAGGUAUUGCACACUGGAAAUCUGCGUUUGUGGCGUAUUUAUGUUGCUAGCCGGUCCGAUCAAUGCCCCUUUAUUAUCAGCAAAGAUCGUUUC